CUUCAACACUCCAACAGCAGCUGUAGUCUGUCGUUCAAAACCUUGUCCUAUAUGAUCUGCAUGGGCUCUUGUCCUGUCUUCAAAGAGCAUCUCACGGGGCUCACUGGUUCGAGCUGAGAAAUCGGAGACAAAGAGCUGAAGUAGCAGGCUAGUGUCGCAGUGGGUAAAUGGCAAGACCCUGACUAGACCCCUUCUCUUUCCAUCCACCCCACAUCAGAGUUCAAGCAGCUAUUCACACUAACCCAGUCACAACUCACUACAAUGACUAUAAGAUAUUACUACAAAUUAAAUUUUGAAGAGAGGUUCUCACAUUCAGGACAAGAAAAGGCUCAAGUUAUAAACUGGUUUAGCUCUAAAUACAUGUUUAUAACUUUGUAAUUCAUAAAGCAUUUUCCCAAAUAAAAACCUAUACAAACGGUUAAAUAAUUUCCUGGAGGGAUACCACAAAUUAGGUUAAGAGAUGGGGGUUUACUGGGAAGAAUCAAGAAACCAGAAAUAAAAAUAAGCUACAAAAAGUA